UACGAAGGGUCCAAGCGUUGUUCGGAUUUAUUGGGCGUAAAGCGCGCGCAGGCGGAUUAGUAAGUCAGAUGUGAAAUCUCAGGGCUCAACCCUGAAACUGCGUCUGAAACUACUAGUCUAGAGUGUUGGAGGGGGCAGGGGAAUUUCACGUGUAGGGGUAAAAUCCGUAGAGAUGUGAAGGAACACCGGAGGCGAAGGCGCCUGCCUAGACAACUACUGACGCUGAGGCGCGAAAGCGUGGGGAGCAAACAGG
rnacentral:rRNA from 1 species